GGUUAUUGAGGGUAGAAACGCUGAGCCUUCUUUUAUAAACGCAUGGUCGGCUCAGCACUAGGCCAGCGGGCCGUCGAGGCAUCUACCGUACCCAACUUUAGGGUAUAAAAAGAUGUGGGAUACGCCGCCCCACCAAUAAUC
ncrna:unclassified sequences skipping-rope RNA